rnacentral:rRNA from 1 species
AUGAACGCUGGCGGCGUGCUUAACACAUGCAAGUCGAACGGAAAGGCUCCUGCUUGCAGGGGUACUCGAGUGGCGAACGGGUGAGUAACACGUGGGUGAUCUGCCCUGCACUUCGGGAUAAGCCUGGGAAACUGGGUCUAAUACCGGAUAGGACGAUGGUUUGGCUGCCAUUGUGGAAAGUUUUUCGGUGUGGGAUGAGCUCGCGGCCUAUCAGCUUGUUGGUGGGGUAAUGGCCUACCAAGGCGUCGACGGGUAGCCGGCCUGAGAGGGUGUACGGCCACAUUGGGACUGAGAUACGGCCCAGACUCCUACGGGAGGCAGCAGUGGGGAAUAUUGCACAAUGGGCGCAAGCCUGAUGCAGCGACGCCGCGUGGGGGAUGACGGCCUUCGGGUUGUAAACUCCUUUCGCUAGGGACGAAGCGUUUUGUGACGGUACCUGGAGAAGAAGCACCGGCUAACUACGU